GGAUUGAACGCUGGCGGCAUGCCUAACACAUGCAAGUCGAACGGGAGUAGCAAUACUCUAGUGGCGGACGGGUGAGGAAUACGUAGGAAUUUGCCCUUAAGUGGGGGAUAACCCGGGGAAACCCGGAUUAAUACCGCAUGACCUCGAAAGAGCAAAGUGGGGGAUCGCAAGACCUCACGCUUUUGGAGAAGCCUACGUCGGAUUAGCUAGUUGGUGAGGUAAUGGCUCACCAAGGCGACGAUCCGUAACUGGUCUGAGAGGAUGAUCAGUCACACCGGAACUGAGACACGGUCCGGACUCCUACGGGAGGCAGCAGUGGGGAAUAUUGGACAAGUGGGACGCAAGCCUGAUCCAGCAAUGCCGCGUGUGUGAAGAAGGCCUUCGGUUAGUAAAGCAACGUUUAAGUUAGGGAAGAAAAACUCGACUACUAACAC
rnacentral:rRNA from 1 species